AGUCCACAGCCCUUGAAGAACGUUCAUCCUUAGAUCAAGCCCAACGGCCCUUUGGAUCAAUCACACAUCGACAAAUACACACCUUACGGAGAUCGAAUCAGAGGAUCAAAAUAGAGAGAGAUUGUAACCCAAAAUCAUCAAAUACUUAAUAUUUGUUUGUGCGCGUUUGUUCUUGUCUCUUUCGUUUCAGGAAUUUUCCGUGUUCACAAAUUGGCACGCCCAGUGGGACAAUCUCUACCUCUCAUCUCUUUCUCCGUUCAAGAAAUUCGAGCACACUUCCAAAAUUAAUGGCUUCAAGAAAGGCUCAAACUGUUCCCGCAACUGGCGCAAAGAACAAGAGCGCCCUCGUCGCAACUAGUGUCACUUUGGGCAUCACGACUCGAAGCAUGGCAAGAGCUACUUCUG
rnacentral:lncRNA from 1 species